UAGCUAGGGCUUCGUCUCUUGUUUAAAAGGAGAGCUUCGUGUUCCACAGCAGCACACGAGAGAGAGAGAGAGAUGGGGAGCACUUCGUCUGAAACAGAAAUGACGGCAUCGGUUUGGAACAACAGCUUUGAUUCUGAUGAAGAAGUUGCAGAAGUGAGUGGCCCACGAACUGGAUUGGGGGAUAGAGAUCCAUGGUCCAAGAAAAAGAAGAAAUACCAAGUCUUUCUUGAAGGGUAUGUGGAAACAGGUGAUGAGGAGGAUCAAGAACAAGGAGGAUCAAAAGGGUUCUCCAGAACGAAGAGCUUAACUGAUGAUGAUCUUGAUGAGUUGAAGGGUUGUUUAGAUCUUGGGUUUGGUUUCAACUACGAUGAAAUACCUGAGCUCUGCAACACUUUACCUGCUCUUGAACUCUGUUACUCCAUGAGUCAGAGGUUCUUGGAUGACCAGCAGAAGUCUCCAGAGAGUUCUGCGGCUUCUUCAGCCACUUCUGAGACCUGCUCUCCGUCGUCUGGUCCGAUUGCCAACUGGAGGAUCUCUAGCCCUGAAUUUAGCUGGAUCAGCUGAUCUAUCUAGAUGAAGCUCUGAUGAGUUGUGUCAGGUUAUAAUCUUGUCUUCUAGGAUUAUUUAGUGAUGAUCCAGAGGAAGUUAAAGCAAGGUUGAAGCUUUGGGCUCAAGCGGUGGCAUGUACUGUUAGAUUAUGUAGCUAGCAGUGAUGAGACAAUGGGUAUUUGUUUAUUUGUUGAGAGAAUUAUCUGCCAUAGACCUUGCCAAGGACAGCAUCUGCAGGGAUGCACUUUUUUCUGCUGGGUCUGGCUGGGAUCUGUUGAUUAUCAUGGCUAUGGCUAUUGAUGGAAAUGGAGGCAGGGAAGAGUAAAGAGGAGAUGAAGAGGAGAAGAGCAAGGGAGGAGAAGAAAGAAGGUGGCAUUAUCUUCGAGAGAAACCAAAACUCCAAAUGAGGGGAGACUCAUAAUACUUGCAUUUGAGGCAAAGAUAGCUUUUAUUAGCAAUCUUGUAUAAUUGUAUCUACUCUAGUCUGCUUAAAUAAAUAAAGCAUUCAUCCUUUUAUAAAUUAAAAAUAAAAUAUAAAAAAAUAUAAAAAACGAAGCUUUGGUCCAGCAUACUUCUAAGUUCUAACCUUAUAGAAGAUUGUAGUAGGUAUAUUUUCCUGAGCAGCUUUCCAACUUGAAAAGAUUGUAUGUAUAUUUUCCUUAGCAGGUUUCCAACUUUAAGUUUACAAAUGACUGAUUUUAGAAACAAAAUGUCAGUGAACAAUGCUAGCAUGUUAAAAGUACCCCUCUAGAAUAUAUUCUUGGUGAAAUAGAUUUCAGUGGAA